rnacentral:sRNA from 1 species
ACAUUUGGUUCCCUCAUCCACAGGGGUGCAAGAUCCAGAACAUGAGUCGGGAGUACUGCAAAAUCUUCGCAGCAGAAGCCCGAGCCGCACAUGGCUUUGGGGAGGUGCCUGAGAUCAUCCCACUGUAUCUGAUCUACCGGCCUGCAAACAAUAUCCCAUAUGCUACCCUGGAGGAAGACCUGGGCAAGCCCCUGGAGUCUUACUGUUCUCGGGAAUGGGGCUGUGCUGGGGCUCUGACAGCAUCUGGCAGCUCUGAGGCCAUGCAGAAAUGCCAGACCUUCCAGCACUGGCUGUAUCAGUGGACAAAUGGCAGCUUCCUUGUCACAGACUUGGCAGGGGUUGACUGGAAGAUGACUGAUGUGCAGAUUGCUACCAAACUUCGAGGAUACCAGGGCCUCAAGGAAAGCUGCUUCCCUGCCCUGCUGGACUGGUUCGCCUCCUCCCACCAGUGCAACGCCUACUGUGAGCUGCUGGGGCUAACACCUCU